UACAGAGGUCUCAAGCGUUGUUCGGAUUCAUUGGGCGUAAAGGGUGUGUAGGUGGCGCCGUAAGUCGGGUGUGAAAUCUAUGGGCUCAACCCAUAGUCUGCAUCAGAAACUGCCGGGCUUGAGUAUGGGAGAGGUGAGUGGAAUUUCCGGUGUAGCGGUGAAAUGCGUAGAUAUCGGAAGGAACACCUGUGGCGAAAGCGGCUCACUGGACCAUUACUGACGCUGAUGUACGAAAGCUAGGG
rnacentral:rRNA from 1 species